rnacentral:rRNA from 1 species
AAUAGAUACCCAGGUAGUCCACGCCGUAAACGAUGAGUGCUAGGUGUCACGGGCUUUGACCCUCGUGGUGCCGCAGCUAACGCAAUAAGCACUCCGCCUGGGGAGUACGGUCGCAAGACUAAAACUUAAAGGAAUUGACGGGGGCCCGCACAAGCGGUGGAGCAUGUGGUUUAAUUCGACGCGACGCGCAGAACCUUACCUGGGCUAGAAAACACAGGAACCUGGGUGAAAACUCGGGGUGCCUUUCGGGGAAUCUGUGGUUAGGUGUUGCAUGGCUGUCGUCAGCUCGUGUCGUGAGAUGUUGGGUUAAGUCCCGCAACGAGCGCAACCCUUGCCGUUAGUUGCCAGCCUUAAGUUGGGCACUCUAACGGGACUGCCGACCUUCAAGUCGGAGGAAGGUGGGGAUGACGUCAAGUCCUCAUGGCCCCUAUGUCCAGGGCUACACACGUGCUACAAUGGUCGGUACAAAGGGCUGCGAAACCGUGAGGUGGAGCCAAUCCCAAAAAACCGGCCUCAGUACGGAUUGGAGUCUGCAACUCGACUCCAUGAAGGCGG